GCUCGGUUGGUCUAGUGGUAUGAUUCUCGCUUAGGGUAAUAUCUUAAGUACGCUUGCGAGAGGUCCCCGGUUCAAACCCGGGAUCGAGCC